rnacentral:rRNA from 1 species
AUUGAACGCUGGCGGCAUGCCUUGCACAUGCAAGUCGAACGGUAACAGGGAGCUUGCUCCGCUGACGAGUGGCGAACGGGUGAGUAAUAUAUCGGAACGUACCCAAGAGUGGGGGAUAACGUAGCGAAAGUUACGCUAAUACCGCAUACGAUCUAUGGAUGAAAGCAGGGGACCUUCGGGCCUUGUGCUCCUGGAGCGUCCGAUAUCUGAUUAGCUAGUGGGUGAGGUAAAGGCUCACCAAGGCGACGAUCAGUAGCUGGUCUGAGAGGACGACCAGCCACACUGGAACUGAGACACGGUCCAGACUCCUACGGGAGGCAGCAGUGGGGAAUUUUGGACAAUGGGCGCAAGCCUGAUCCAGCAAUGCCGCGUGAGUGAAGAAGGCCUUCGGGUUGUAAAGCUCUUUUGUCAGGGAAGAAACGGCUGUGGCUAAUAUCCACGGCUAAUGACGGUACCUGAAGAAUAAGCACCGGCUAACUACGUGCCAGCCGCCGCCGUAA